rnacentral:rRNA from 1 species
UACGUAGGGCGCAAGCGUUGUCCGGAUUCACUGGGUGUAAAGGGUGCGCAGGCGGGAAAGUAAGUUAGAGGUGAAAUCUCACAGCUCAACUGUGAAACGGCCUUUGAUACUGCUUUUCUUGAGUUAGGGAGAGGUUGAUGGAAUUCCAGGUGUAGCGGUGAAAUGCGUAGAUAUCUGGAAGAACACCGGUGGCGAAGGCGGUCAACUGGCCCUAACCUGACGCUCAGGCACGAAAGCAUGGGGAUCAAACAGG